AACGAACGCUGGCGGCAUGCCUAACACAUGCAAGUCGAACGAGACCUUCGGGCCUAGUGGCGCACGGGUGCGUAACGCGUGGGAACCUGCCCUUAGGUUCGGAAUAACUCCCCGAAAGGGGUGCUAAUACCGGAUAAUGUCUUCGGACCAAAGAUUUAUCGCCUUGGGAUGGGCCCGCGUUGGAUUAGCUAGUUGGUAGGGUAAAAGCCUACCAAGGCGACGAUCCAUAGCUGGUCUGAGAGGAUGAUCAGCCACACUGGGACUGAGACACGGCCCAGACUCCUACGGGAGGCAGCAGUGGGGAAUAUUGGACGAUGGGCGAAAGCCUGAUCCAGCAAUGCCGGGUGAGUGAUGAAGGCCUUAGGGUUGUAAAGCUCUUUUACCCGGGAUGAUAAUGACAGUACCGGGAGAAUAAGCUCCGGCUAACUCCGUG
rnacentral:rRNA from 1 species